UUACUGCUAUCGAGGUUCGACUAAGCCGUGCGAGUCGAAUGUAGCAAUACAUGGCGUACUGCUCGUAACACGUGGACAACCUGCCCUUAGGUUGGGUAUAAACCCGGGAAACUGGGUAUAAUCCCCUAUAAGUCUCGGCUGCUGGAAGCACCGAGAUUAAAAAGCUCCGGCGCCUAAGGAUGGGUCGCGGCCUAUCAGGGUAGUAGUGGUGUAACGUACCACUAGCCUACGACGGGUACGGGUUGUGAGAGCGAGAGCCCGGAGAGGAUUCUGAGCAUGAAUCCAGGCCCUACGGGGGCGCAGCAGGCGCGAUG
rnacentral:rRNA from 1 species